rnacentral:rRNA from 1 species
UACGGGGGGUGCGAGCGUUGUCCGGAAUCACUGGGCGUAAAGAGCGUGUAGGCGGCCAAGCAGGUCCGUUGUGAAAACUGGAGGCUUAACCUCCAGACGUCGACGGAAACCGCGUGGCUAGAGUCCGGAAGAGGAGAGUGGAAUUCCUGGUGUAGCGGUGAAAUGCGCAGAUAUCAGGAAGAACACCAAUGGCGAAGGCAGCUCUCUGGGACGGUACUGACGCUGAGACGCGAAAGCGUGGGGAGCAAACAGG